rnacentral:rRNA from 1 species
GAUGGGCUCGCGCCUGAUUAGAUAGUUGGUGGGGUAAUGGCUCACCAAGUCUGCGAUCAGUAGCCGGACUGAGAGGUCGAUCGGCCACAUUGGGACUGAGACACGGCCCAGACUCCUACGGGAGGCAGCAGUGGGGGAAUAUUGCACAAUGGGCGAAAGCCUGAUGCAGCGACCCCGCGUGAGGGAAGAAGGUUUUCGGAUUGUAAACCUCUGUCUUCGAGGACGAAGAAGUGACGGUACUCGAGGAGGAAGCCACGGCUAACUACGUGCCAGCAGCCGCGGUAAAACGUAGGUGGCAAGCGUUGUCCGGAAUUACUGGGUGUAAAGGGAGCGCAGGCGGGAUGCCAAGUUGGACGUGAAAUCUAUGGGCUCAACCCAUAGCGUGCGUUCAAAACUGGCGUUCUUGAGUGAUGGAGAGGCAGGCGGAAUUCCCGGUGUAGCGGUGGAAUGCGUAGAUAUCGGGAGGAACACCAGUGGCGAAGGCGGCCUGCUGGACAUUAACUGACGCUGAGGCUCGAAAGUGUGGGGAGCAAACAGGAUUAGAUACCCUGGUAGUCCACACCGUAAACGAUGAUUACUAGGUGUGGGGGGAUAGACCCCCUCCUUCCGCAGCUAACGCAAUAAGUAAUCCACCUGGGG